GCGGCGAGUGAAGCGGCAACAGCUCAGAUUUGAAAUCUGGCUCUUUCAGAGUCCGAGUUGUAAUUUGCAGAGGGCGCUUUGGCUUUGGCAGCGGUCCAAGUUCCUUGGAACAGGACGUCACAGAGGGUGAGAAUCCCGUACGUGGUCGCUAGCUAUUGCCGUGUAAAGCCCCUUCGACGAGUCGAGUUGUUUGGGAAUGCAGCUCUAAAUGGGAGGUAAAUUUCUUCUAAAGCUAAAUAUUGGCCGGAGACCGAUAGCGCACAAGUAGAGUGAUCGAAAGAUGAAAAGCACUUUGGAAAGAGAGUCAAACAGCACGUGAAAUUGUUGAAAGGGAAGCGCUUGCAGCCAGACUUGCUUGCAGUUGCUCAUCCGGGCUUUUGCCCGGUGCACUCUUCUGUAGGCAGGCCAGCAUCAGUUUGGGCGGUGGGAUAAAGGUCUCUGUCACGUACCUCUCUUCGGGGAGGCCUUAUAGGGGAGACGACAUACCACCAGCCUAGACUGAGGUCCGCGCAUCUGCUAGGAUGCUGGCGUAAUGGCUGUAAGCGGCCCGUCUUGAAACACGGACCAAGGAGUCUAACAUCUAUGCGAGUGUUUGGGUGUCAAGCCCGAGCGCGUAAUGAAAGUGAACGGAGGUGGGAACCCGCAAGGGUGCACCAUCGACCGAUCCUGAAGUUACGGAAGGAUUUGAGUAAGAGCAUGGCUGUUGGGACCCGAAAGAUGGUGAACUAUGCUUGAAUAGGGUGAAGCCAGAGGAAACUCUGGUGGAGGCUCGCAGCGG
rnacentral:rRNA from 1 species